UACGUAGGUGACCAGCGUUGUCCGGAUUUACUGGGCGUAAAGAGCGCGCAGGCGGUCGUUCAAGUCGAGUGUGAAAGCCCCCGGCUCAACUGGGGAGGGUCACUCGAUACUGAUCGACUUGAAGGCAGGAGAGGGAAGCGGAAUUCCCGGUGUAGUGGUGAAAUGCGCAGAUAUCAGGAGGAACACCGACGGCGAAGGCAGCUUACUGGGCCGAUACUGACGCUGAGGAGCGAAAGCGUGGGGAGCGAACAGG
rnacentral:rRNA from 1 species